rnacentral:misc_RNA from 1 species
UGUAAAAUCAACUGAUGGAUCUAGCAUUUUAAUUUCUACUGAAUCUACAAGCACUAAUCCUCCACUCCAUGAGCCCUAACUAUUUUCAUUCUUUCUCCUCUUAAGUUUUUGCAUGUUGCAUUUCAAGUCCAUACAGUUUACCCAAUUAUAUUACAAUGAACUUUCAAAUUUCCAAUUCUAACAUCUUCAAAUCCAUCGGAUCUUGUCAUCAAUUUCCUUGAAUCCAUUUCUUCCCUUUCCCCUACAUGGGCUCAACACAGUCCGUACAAGUACCCGAAGAAGAUGAUGAGAGUGAAGAAGAAGAAGAAGAAGACGAUCAUAAUGUGGUAGGAGCUUUAAGAGAAAUUGAUGGCAACAAUUUGGUUAAGAAGGUUCUCGAACAAGAGCCUGAAAUACUACCUUGCCAUGCUUCAGCAUCGCCGCUCUCUCCUCAGGUCUCUUCCUUAGGUACGCCGCGCCUCUGCCCGUCGAUUAAGGUGUGGGACCCUUACAAUGUCUUGGCCCCACCUCUGCCGCUUCCUCCACCUCCCCCUUUUCCAAUUUUCUCUCGGAGCUUGUCGUCGUCUUCGUCCGGUGGGAUUGUUGACGAGGAUCGCGUCGUUACGGAGGUGUUUUUGAUUAAUCAUGGAGAGUGCGACCUUAAUUUAAGGCCAGAUUUGGUCGGUGGGAGAUGCCACGUGGCGGCUUUGACGCCGAUUGGGAAACGUCAGGCUAGGGCUUUAGCUGUGUUCUUGAACUCUCUAGGGGUGAAGUUCAAUGCGGUUUAUUCCUCGCCCUUGGAUCGAGCAAGAUCAACUGCUGUUUCUGUUUGCCAGGAAAUAAAUUUUGCGGAGGAACAGAUACAAUCAUCAGAUGCACUUGUAGAGAUGAGUCUGGGGCAUUGGGAGGGGUGCCCCUGUUCAGAAAUAUAUACCCCUGAAGUUCUGAGCUUGAUUGAAAGUUGCCAGCCUGAUUUUUGUGCACCAUCUGGAGAAUCAUUAAGGCAGGUGGAAUUUAGGAUGGUUCAGUUCUUAAAUAGGAUUCUUGGACUGCCUGAAAAGUUGAGAUCAGAUUUCACGUUGCACCAUCAAAUCAAGAGCCAAGGGUUUUCUCAUGAUCGAGAUCCACCUCCUCUAUUGCCACAACAUUGGGAUAUGAAUCACAGGCAUCGACCAUUGUUCUCAAGGAAGAAGUCUGGUAAGAGCAGGCUGCAGUAUGUGACUACCACUGGCAAUCAUGAGGGUGAGGAUGAGAUCUCUCCCAGGGGAGCACCAAAGUGCACUGCAUAAUUUGAGUGUUAGGAGCUCAACCUCCAUCUCUUCAUGUAUUGGUGUUUUCACUCAUUCAAUUCCUAUUAAGUGCCUCCUCACAGGCCUCCUGGGUUGCAGCCCAGUAAUGUUACAUAGGAUCUGCAUAGAAGAUUCUUCAGUGACAGUAUUGCUUCAUUCAUGGAAAACAGGUUGGCAGAUAAAACGCUGGAAUGAUACUGCACAUCUUAGGCUUCUCUAGUUAGAGAAUUAUGAAAUCCCUGCUUGGAAUUUACUUCUGGGAUGAUGAGCUGUUAAUUAUUGGGUGAAAGCUGGUAUUUUAUUCAUUUAUGGAUCAUGUUGCAAGUCACGAUUACAUGUGAACUGAUGUUACUUCUACACUCUGUUAUACUGUUUGACAGAUUUAUUUACACUCAUAUAGACUUACCACCUUGAAAUUAAAAGAGGAUCGAGGUCGGGAGUUGGGUAUUUGUAUUGGGUGAUUCUUUUGAUUUGUAACAUUUACAAGUGUUGUUAUUGUAGAGGGAAAGAUAUAUAUUUUUCCCCUUUUCAUGUAUUAGGAAGAAAUAAGUUAUUUUAGGAUGAUGAACUGUGAAGUUGUAUUUUUGCCGAUUCUUACCAUUUGAGAAGAGCUACCUGAGACAUGCCCUAUUAUUUCAUUUAUGAUUACAACAAAACAUUUUCACUAAUUAGCAAGUUUAUCAUUUUUUUUUUCUAAAAAAAAAAAAAUGAUAAACUUGCUAAUUAG